GAUGAACGCUAGCGGCAGGCCUAAUACAUGCAAGUCGGACGGGAUUGGAGAGCUUGCUUUCCAUGAGAGUGGCGCACGGGUGCGUAACACGUAUGUAACCUACCUUGUUCAGGGGGCUAGCCUCUCGAAAGAGAGAUUAAGACCGCAUAACAUUGCGAUGUGGCAUCACAUUGUAAUCAAAUAUUUAUAGGAACAAGAUGGGCAUGCGGGACAUUAGCUAGUUGGUAAGGUAACGGCUUACCAAGGCUACGAUGUUUAGGGGAUCUGAGAGGAUGACCCCCCACACUGGUACUGAGACACGGACCAGACUCCUACGGGAGGCAGCAGUAAGGAAUAUUGGUCAAUGGGCGGAAGCCUGAACCAGCCAUGCCGCGUGCAGGAAGACGGCCCUAUGGGUUGUAAACUGCUUUUGCAGGGGAAUAAACCUUGGUACGUGUACCAAGCUGAAUGUACUCUGAGAAUAAGGAUCGGCUAACUCCGUGCCAGCCGCCGCAGUAA
rnacentral:rRNA from 1 species